UUUAAAUGGCCGCAGUAUAUUAACUGUGCAAAGGUAGCAUAAUCAUUAGUCUUUUAAUUGAAGGCUGGUAUGAAUGGUUGGACGAAAUAUUAACUGUUUCAUAUAAAUUUGUAUUUGAAUUUUAUUUUUUAGUAAAAAAGCUAAAAUUUAUUUAAAAGACGAGAAGACCCUAUAAAUCUUUAUAUUUAAAUUAUUAAAAUUUUACAGAAUUUUUUUAUUAUAAUAAUCUUAAUUAUUUUGUUGGGGUGAUAUUAAAAUUUAAUAAACUUUUAAAUUAUUUAUUUCAUAAAUUUAUGUAUAAUUGAUCCAUUAUUAAUGAUUAAAAAAAUAAGUUACUUUAGGGAUAACAGCGUAAUUUUUUUGGAGAGUUCAUAUCAAUAAGAAAGAUUGCGACCUCGAUGUUGGAUUAAGAUAUAAUUUUAGGUGUAGAUGCUUAAAUUUUAAGUCUG
rnacentral:rRNA from 1 species